GUAAGCAGGAUUUUUUUUUUUUUUAAUUAUUAUUAUUUCUGUGACCUUGGCUGUUGCAUUGCAGUACAUCCUUGCUUGUUGUAGCCAAGGGUUUUGCUGCUAUUAUUGCUGCAUUUUGCAUCGCAUUGCAGCUCUGAACUCUUCUUUUAAGAAUUUUUAAUGUUUCACCCACCAGCCUAGGUGAAGGGCAUAUAGCCUGGAGUCUCCUUGCAGGUGUUGUGAUACCUAUGUGGUACACUUGGGACAGGCUCUUUUAUGGCUACCUUCAAGGGGAAAAAAACUGCAAAGAUAGGAUGAAGAUAAUGGUAGCAAAAGCAAGAUAUUCUUUGCCAUUUCUGCCUGAGCUUGCUGUAUGUGCUACACCUCGUCCUGUCACCCCUUGAUUUGAACUAGAGAAGGUUCAGCCAUGUCCCGCAGCAGCAACUGCCAGGGUGGGAACAAUGCUGAUUGGUAGAUGUCAUGUCUGAGGGAUGUUUCUGCCUGGAGAGUAAUUAUGGGACAACAGCUCAGCCCUCACUUCUCUGAUGACCUUCUCCAGAGCCUGAAGGAAACAUACUGGGAAAGCCACAUAUGAUUUUACCAGUGCCAUAAUUUAGAGAUCACCCAGCCUCAGCAUCCAGACUUUGUUGCUCCAACUAGACAAGUCUCAGGUCACACCCCAAGGAGUGGGAGACACCCAAGCCACAGGAUUGACACACAGAAGUGACCUGACUCCCCAUCAGAAUGUUGCAGUUUCACUGCCAUUGAUUGACAAAGGCAGCAUUCUUUAAUCUAGGGGAAAAGAACAUGCAUAUAUGUAUCAGCCCAGGUAUUGCUUGGCUGUACCCAGUCAAAUCUGAGAUAUGCUGUGAGUCUGAGCCCC
rnacentral:lncRNA from 1 species